UUUUUGUUAAACAAAGAAAAUAAUAUUUGAUCGUGUAAUUGUUUGCUAUUCAAAUAUACUACGAUAUCCGUUUGUUUGUAGUUUUUGACUACGCUCGAACAAUUUUAACGAAAGUUUUAGAUCUUGUUCUUAGAGACAUCAGAAAAGUUUCGUGUACGUAGUAUGAACCACGUCCGAAAAUAUGCCAAGUGUUUUAACCAAUCCGCCACGAGAGGAUCGACCAUUUCGAUUGAAUCAGUUCGAAAAGCGAUGUAUACCAAUUCCGAUUUGCUAAUGAAUAAAGGGUGUUGCACGUACGGACAGCUAACUAUCGCUGCACAACACGACGGUCUGCUUUGUAAACGUAGUAUUGUUUCAGCGUCAAUAUUGCCUGCAAAUUCGAAACUAAAAUACACAGGUACCAGCAGUUACCCUGCAGGCCAUGUCGACACCUAACCACCGUACUUAACCGGAAGUGUGUAGGAUUUGAAAAUCCAAAAACUUAACAAUAUUAAUCAAAACUUUAGAAAGAACUUCUUGCGGAUGAAACGUUCAGCGAGCUUGCAGCUAAAUAAAAGUGUGAUUGGGAGGAUUAAGUCCGAAAUCCGAUUCCUGCCUCUUUUUGUAUAAUAAUUGUUAUACCACACAUAUUAUUUUUGAUGGUAAUAGUUGUUGCGCAAUCGUGCAAUCUAAUCCAAUAUCAACACGGACGUUAAAACUCCAAUGGGCAAAUAUCAGUCACGCAUCAGUCUCUCGCUUUGUUGAAGCAUUACAAUUCUUAAUUACUAGUUUUAAAUUUUUAAUUGAUGUAAAAGAGGCGCGAAACAUUUUUCACACUACAAUAUUGCUAUUUUCUUUGUGCAAAAUUUUACUGAACCAAAUUAUAAUUAUUACUAUCAUCAUGAUAUUAUUA